UUGGCAAUAGAUCAAAAUCCAUAUGCCAAGGGAAAACAAGUUUGGGGAAACUCCUAAGUUUUUGGUCUAAGUAUCUUCCAUGGAGAGGUUGAAAGUGGAAUGAAGCCAAGGAUGACUUGCAGGCAUUAAUUUGCUAUUAAGCUAGCAAGUUAGGUAGUUUCAUUUGUUGGAUUUUCCCGGCAAGUCAUCCUGUGGUUAUAUUUGGCUUUCUUCCUCUCAUGUGAGACUCUAAUGACUCUCUUGUAUAUGCUAGGUAAACACACCCUUGUUCUAUGAAGUUCUUAGACAGAAAUAGUUAGAAUCAAAGUUGACAAGAUGAGCAAAUUUAAUUAAUUCGGGAAAACAAGUCAAACAUAUCUCCAUGUUUCAGAAGUUUUUAACAUUUUCGACAGUUCAAUAAUUUUUAAUAUUUUCUAACUUAUCUUCUUAAAGAAUAGAUACUCAAAUUAAUUAAUUUUUAAAAAUUCUGUUUCAUGGACUUUUGUUUAUUGAAAACAUUGUUUUUAUAAGAAUUAAAAAAAACUAUGUUUAGCCGGAUUUAUCCUUACAAAAAAUAAGCUUAUUUGGAUUGGGGGUGAAGCUGGGUUGGUGUUGUUGCUUAUUGGAAUAGUGAGGUCUUUUGGAUGUCCUCAUCCCAAAACAAGACCAACCAUACUUCUGUUAGAGAUAGAGUAGUCCAAACUACAAAUUGUAGGUCUUACCCUCAAGGUGGCAUUAGAAAUAUAGUAUGUGUAUUCCCUUGCAUACACAUGUUUCAUGUAGAUUAGUAUUUUUUUUAUUGUGUCAUAAUUUUAGACUAAAAAUCAAUUGCCUUUUUUACAUUUUUAAUGAGCUCUUAAUGGCCACCGACAAGAAGGGUAUGACAAUUGUGUUGAUGGUCACUCUCAAAAGGCAUAUCUAAAUGCAGGCAAAAAUUUGUGAGGCCUUUGCAGAUACAACACAGAAGAUUGAUGGGUCGACCGAGCUUAGCAUUUGGCAAGAGGUUGCUAAUAGUGUCGAGGAGAGGACUACUACUUUGGAGCAACAUGCAUGUGCGCUAUGAUGGUGCAUGUGCAGCUUUUGAUACCAGUCAUGCUCAUACACUAAGAGUCUGACACCUAAAAGUACAUCGAUACUAUCAAGAUUAUAUGGACGAUCAUUUCUUGGAUGACGAUACCAGUCUAGAGAUAUUUUUGUCCUUUUUUUAUGUCUUUUUCUUGUACACUUUGACUAUCAUAUUACAAACAUGAGCAUAAUUGUAUAUGACGAUUAUUUUUGUUUAUUUCUACAUUAUUAUUUA